rnacentral:rRNA from 1 species
UACGUAGGGAGCAAGCGUUGUCCGGAAUCAUUGGGCGUAAAGAGCUCGUAGGCGGUUUGUUGCGUCGGCUGUGAAAUCCCGAGGCCCAACCUCGGGUCUGCAGUCGAUACGAGCAAACUAGAGUGUUGCAGGGGAGACUGGAAUUCCUGGUGUAGCGGUGAAAUGCGCAGAUAUCAGGAGGAACACCGGUGGCGAAGGCGGGUCUCUGGGCAACAACUGGCGCUGAGGAGCGAAAGCGUGGGGAGCGAACAGG